rnacentral:lncRNA from 1 species
CGCAAGUCUCCAUAUUUAAAUAACCCUGCAUGAGAAACAUUACAGGAAUGUUUCCCAGCUCAUCUAUGUUCCUUUAACAUCUACACAGCACUUGAGGUGGACUGAGAAUGUCCUCAAGAGACAGGGCACACAAACAUUUCCUAGAACAAUGAGAAACCCCUGAAGCGAUAUUUCUGGUGACCCAGAUACUGAAAAUACAGGCCCAGAAGGCCCUGUAUCCACUAAGCAAAUAGUUCUGCAUUUCCGGAGUCAGGGGUUCUAUACACACCUCUCGUCAAGCCUGGAUCAAUCUCCACUUUUUCAAUGUAGGUACUGCCUAACCCAAUCCCUCCCAAUCCCCACCUCCAUGAUCCUCUCCCGUUUCUUAUUCUCACUGCAAUUAAUUUAUAUAAUUCCUGAGGGACUUGGUGCCUCACAAGCAGUUUUUUUUUUUUUUUUUCUGCCAGGUCUAGACUGCAGGCUCUUUGAGGGAAAAGACAGUCACUAUCAUCUCAAUGGUAUACCACAGCUUGCAGCACAAUGGCCCACAGAUCUACUGAUGACAGACCAAAUAUCUCACAAAUUGUGAUUUAAUACCAUUAUUCCUUGGGGCUUAUACUGCAACUUACCUUACAAAACCCUACCCAUGGAAAUCCAGUGGCUAUGACCAUUCCUAUCUAUUUUACAAAAUGACGACUGCUAAAAAUCAGUCUAAUAAGCAAACAUACUAGGUAAAAUUACCCAGUAACAGAGCCCCGCCCUCCCUACUCCCAGCUACCUUUUUCAAACUCUAAUACCAGUCGUUCUGAUAUGCUUGAGAAGCAAA